rnacentral:rRNA from 1 species
ACAACGAAGAGUUUGAUCCUGGCUCAGGAUGAACGCUAGCGGGAGGCUUAACACAUGCAAGUCGAGGGGUAACAGGGGUAGCAAUACCUGCUGACGACCGGCGUACGGGUGAGU